AGAGUUUGAUCCUGGCUCAGGAUGAACGCUGGCGGCGUGCCUAACACAUGCAAGUCGAACGGACUCGGAUUGAAACCUAGUGAUUUCCGAGUUAGUGGCGGACGGGUGAGUAACGCGUGGAUAACCUGCCGUAUGCAGGGGGAUAACAGUUGGAAACAGCUGCUAAUACCGCAUAAGCGCACAAUACCGCAUGGUACUGUGUGAAAAGAUUUAUCGGCAUACGAUGGAUCCGCGUCCGAUUAGCCAGUUGGCGGGGUAACGGCCCACCAAAGCGACGAUCGGUAGCCGGCCUGAGAGGGCGGACGGCCACAUUGGGACUGAGACACGGCCCAAACUCCUACGGGAGGCAGCAGUGGGGAAUACUGCACAAUGGGGGAAACCCUGAUGCAGCGACGCCGCGUGAGUGAAGAAGUAUCUCGGUAUGUAAAGCUCUAUCAGCAGGGAAGAAAAUGACGGUACCUGACUAAGAAGCCCCGGCUAACUACGUG
rnacentral:rRNA from 1 species